rnacentral:rRNA from 1 species
UCGAACGAGAAAGGGGAGCAAUCCCUGAGUACAGUGGCGUACGGGUGAGUAACACGUGGGUAAUCCACCCUCUGGUGGGGAAUAACUCUGGGAAACCGGAGCUAAUACCGCAUAAGACCGGGAGGUGAAAGGCGAAAGUCGCCGGAGGAGGAGCCCGCGGCCGAUUAGUUAGCUGGUGAGGUAAUGGCUCACCAGGACGUCGAUCGGUAGCCGGCCUGAGAGGGCACACGGCCACACUGGCACUGAAACACGGGCCAGACUCCUACGGGAGGCAGCAGUGGGGAAUCUUGCACAAUGGGGGAAACCCUGAUGCAGCGACGCCGCGUGAGCGAUGAAGCCCUUCGGGGUGUAAAGCUCUUUCGACCCGGAAGAAACCUGACGGUACGGGGAGAAGAAGCUGCGGCUAACUACGCGCCAGCAGCCGCGGUAAUACGUAGGCAGCGAGCGUUGUUCGGAGUUACUGGGCGUAAAGCGUGCGUAGGCGGCGCCUCAAGUCUGGUGUGAAAUCUCCCGGCUCAACCGGGAGGGUGCGCCGGAAACUGGGGAGCUGGAGUGUGGGAGAGGCAGGCGGAAUUCCUGGUGUAGCGGUGAAAUGCGUAGAUAUCAGGAGGAACACCCGCGGUGUAGACGGCCUGCUGGACCACCACUGACGCUGAGGCACGAAAGCGUGGGGAGCAAACAGGAUUAGAUACCCUGGUAGUCCACGCCCUAAACGAUGCAUACUUGGUGUGGGCAGUUCAUUCUGUCCGUGCCGAAGCUAACGCGAUAAGUAUGC